CAACCGAUUGUGUAUGCACAUGUAAUGUUACAACCAAUAAUGAUAAUAAUUAUAAUAUUAAUAACAAAAAAAUACAUGAUGGGUAUACAAAUAGUAACAAAAAUCAUAUGAAUAGUCAUGUUGAUAGUUUUAAAUUAGGAUAUUAUAAUAAUCUGAAUAAUGACUGUAAUAGUACAAUAAUAGAUAACAUUACGAAUAAUGGAGUAAUAAAUUAUGACACAAGUAGUAAUAAUAUAAAAGAAAAUGAUACUAGUAGCAAUGGGAUUAGUUAUGUAAAAACAGAAAAAAAAAAUGAAAAUGUUUAUUCAAAAUAUACAAACUUGAAUGAUAUAGAAUCUAACACUGUUACUAGUAUCACUUAUGGUAAAACGAAUAAUAAAAAAUAUACUGACACAAAUUUAAUAAAUACAUCAGUUAUAUUACCACAAGGUGUAUUUUAUCAAGAUUCUAAAAAAGCAUUCUGUGCAAAUUGGUAUUCUAAUGGAAAACAAGAAAAAAAAUAUUUUUCUAUUAAUAAGUUUGGUGAAGAAAAAGCACGUAAUUUGGCUAUUGCAGCGAGGAAAAGGUUUGAAAGCGUUUAUAAAAAAAAUAAUAACACUGGGUGUGCUAUUAGUACUGUUAAUAGUACUGUUAAUAGUAGUACUACCAAUAGUAAUAUAACCAAUGAUAGUACAAGUAUUAUUAAUGAUGUACAACCAAGUUCUUCAAUCGAACAAUAUUAUGAAUGUCUUCCUCAAAAUGAAACCAAAUUGAGAGUACAAUCAGAAGAAUGUAUAAUAAAAGAUUAUAAAAAAAAUAGUAAUGAUAAACAAUUUAAUAUUAAAACUUCAUUUGGACAAUCCAGUUUUAGCAGUAUAUAUAAUACUAACAACGGUGAGCAUAAUAAAAUAAUAGAAAAUCUUAUAAAUGAGGAUAAACAAAAAAGAAGAAGUAUAUGUACAGCAAUAGGAACAGGCACAAGCUCAAUCGCAAGCAUAAAAAAUAACAAUAACAGUAGUGUUAAAGGAUUAACUACAGAAUUGUUACCGAACAAUAACAGUUUAAAUUAUAUUACAGAUGCUUCUAUGAAAGGUAAAAAUUAUGUACACCAUGAUUUGUACACGGGUAAUAAUAAUAAUUGUAAUAGUGACAGUGCCUUUAUUGUUCCACAGUGUGACAUAAACCUUAAAAAGGAAAGUACAUCAGUUAACAGUAGCACAAUUGAUGAUAAAGCCAAUAACGUUAUGAUCAGUAAUGGCUAUAUAAAUAACACAAUUGAUAAUAAUAUUAAUAAUAAUAUCAGUAGUUAUGACAAUGGCAAUAAUUAUGACAAUAGCAAUAAUUAUAGCAGUAACAAUAAUUAUAGCAGUAACAAUAAUUAUGACAAUGGCAAUAAUUAUGACAGUAUUCAUAAUGGGCUGUAUAUGAUAAACAAAAACAUAAAUGACAAUAUGUCCGUAUUAAAUGAUACAAAAAAAAACAUUGAAGAUAAUACAAAUAAACACAUAAGUACAAACCAGGAUGCUUAUUAUCCUAAUGAUACUAUUAAUCAUGUAGGUAUUAGUAUUAAUCGUAGUAGCAGUAGUAUUAGCGUUUUUAGUGAUAAAAUGAUUCAUACGUGUAGUGAUAUAUGUACAGAUAAUGAUAAGUAUAAUUGUGCUCGUAGUCACAGUCAUUACAAUAGUCACAAACAUAACAACCAUUACAACAGUCUUUACAAUCAUCACUAUAGUUAUCCGUACAACCACAUAAAUAGUAACUACAACAACAAAUUUUGUAAUAGUAUAUUAACAAAUAUGUUAAAUAAAAGUAUAUAUUCCCAUACAUCAGAUAAAAAUUGUUUUGUAUUACAAAAUAAUAACACCAAUGUCAAUAGAAAUAUUUGUAACAUUUUAAAUGAAGGUUCGAAUAAACCUAUUAAUGAAAACAUAAAUACAAAUUUAUGUUUAUUUACUGAUCAUAAAAUAAAUGAAUGCUGUCCAAACUCAAAUAAACAAAUAAAUUUACUUAUGUCCUCACAAGAUAACAACAAUACUAUUGAAUGUUUUACACCAGACUAUUAUAACAACAAAUUUAAUGAAAAAAAUACUUUUAACCAGUCUAUAAAAAAUGACUUAGACGAUAUAAACUUAUAUCAUAAAA
ensembl:lncRNA